UGUUUCCCAUUAAUCAAGAACGAAAGUUAGAUGAUCGAAGGCGAUCAGAUACCGCCCUAGUUCUAACCAUAAACGAUGCCAGCCAGCGAUCCGGCUGUGUUCCUCAAAUGACACGCCGGGCAGCUUCCGGGAAACCAAAGCUUUUGGGUUCCGGGGGAAGUAUGGUUGCAAAGCUGAAACUUAAAGGAAUUGACGGAGGGGCACACCAGGAAUGGAGCCUGCGGCUUAAUUUGACUCAACACGGGGAAACUUACCAGGCCCGGACACAGGAAGGAUUGACAGAUUGAGAGCUCUUUCUUGAUUCUGUGGCAAGUGGUGCAUGGCCGUUCUUAGUUGGUGGAGUGAUUUGUCUGGUUUAUUCCGAUAACGAUCGAGACUCUAGCCUACUAAAUAGACGUUCCGAUCACUCCAGUCGGACGUUCUUCUUAGAGGGACACGCGGCGUCUAGCCGCACGAAACAGAGCAAUAACAGGUCUGUAAUGCCCUCAGAUGUCCUGGGCUGCACGCGCGCUACAAUGAAGGAAUCAGCGUGUGCUUUCCCGGCCCGACAGGGUUGGGUAACCCCUUGAACCUCCUUCUUGCUUGGGAUAGGAAAAUGUAACUUUUCCUUGAACGAGGAAUUCCUAGUAAGCACGAGUCAUUAGCUCGUGUUGAUUACGUCCCUGCCCCUUGUGCACACCGCCCGUCGCUACCUUCGAUUGAAUAAUUUAGUGAGGUCUUCGGACUGGCUGUCGGACUGGCUCUUCUGGGCCGGGCCGGCGUGCCGGAAAGAUGUCCGAACUUGAUC
rnacentral:rRNA from 1 species